AACCAGGCGAAAUGGAGGCUCAGAUGGCUGAAGUUGGAACUGAGUAUGUGUUGAAAAACAUUCUGACAACUCGAAAACCUGGUCCUCCGAUAUUUCCCAAGGGAGAGUAUGGAACCGGGUUCAAUCCAGAUAUGCCGAAUUCCUUACCCUCUUGGCUCACGCAAGAUGAUCUUGCCUAUUACGUAUCCAAAUAUGAGAAAACGGGCUUCACAGGACCCUUGAACUAUUACAGAAAUAUGAACUUGUAAUUAAUCUAUGAUUUCCUUUUCGGUUAAAAUUUAUCAGAAAGACAUGUAAUUGAUUAACUGUAUUGCUGCUUACAGAAAUUGGGAGCUGACAGCACCAUGGAGUGGAGGAAAAAUUCAAGUGCCGGUAAAGUUCAUCACAGGUGAGUUGGACAUGGUGUACACCUCACUGAACAUGAAGGAGUAUAUCCACGGUGGAGGUUUCAAACAAGAUGUUCCAAAUUUAGAAGAAGUGAUUGUGCAGAAAAAUGUAGCUCACUUCAAUAAUCAAGAAGCAGCUGAGGAAAUCAAUAAUCAUAUUUACGAUUUUAUCAAGAAGUUUUAAUCACAGAACGAAUAGAAUACUGAUAAAAAAAACAACGAAUUGAAUAUGGAACACACAGUCGAAAGGUUGUAGGUGACGAAGACUCUGAAUGGUUACCGAUGGGUUUAUCUUAUCCUUUUAUCAACUAUCAUAUCAUUGUCACCACUGUUGUCACUACAUCUUGUCUUUCUCUUUUUUUCUUUUCUUUUCCUUUUAUUCCUCUUCUCACCCAUAUUCUCUUAAUAAAAAAAAUCAUUAAAUUC
rnacentral:lncRNA from 1 species